rnacentral:ncRNA from 2 species
CGGCCUACCUCGGGGUGGCGGCGCAUGAGCCGUCUGAGAUUUCCGUACCACGGAUCAACCCGUUGAACCUGAACCGGUUAACACCGGCGGAGGGAAGGUAUGGGCCCGAUGA